AUUGAACGCUGGCGGCAUGCCUUACACAUGCAAGUCGAACGGCAGCACGGGUGCUUGCCCCUGGUGGCGAGUGGCGAACGGGUGAGUAAUACAUCGGAACAUGUCCUGUAGUGGGGGAUAGCCCGGCGAAAGCCGGAUUAAUACCGCAUACGAUCUACGGAUGAAAGCGGGGGACCUUCGGGCCUCGCGCUAUAGGGUUGGCCGAUGGCUGAUUAGCUAGUUGGUGGGGUAAAGGCCUACCAAGGCGACGAUCAGUAGCUGGUCUGAGAGGACGACCAGCCACACUGGGACUGAGACACGGCCCAGACUCCUACGGGAGGCAGCAGUGGGGAAUUUGGGACAAUGGGCGAAAGCCUGAUCCAGCAAUGCCGCGUGUGUGAAGAAGGCCUUCGGGUUGUAAAGCACUUUUGUCCGGAAAGAAAUCCUUGGCUCUAAUACAGUCGGGGGAUGACGGUACCGGAAGAAUAAGCACCGGCGAACUACGU
rnacentral:rRNA from 1 species